rnacentral:piRNA from 1 species
UCUAGGUGCUGAGCAAUUCAGGUGAUCUCU